rnacentral:lncRNA from 1 species
GUGCAGUAUAGUUGAGAAUAUGCUUCUGCAGCUUGGAAAAUGAGCAGGAACACCAACUCACUCAACUAUUAUCGUAUGUAAAACAUCUUUGUAUUUGCAAUUACUGGGAGAAGUGACAGGACAGUACCCAACUGGGAAAACUGGAAGCUGCUGAAAUUAAUUAAGUGUUCCCAUGGCUUGGCUUGAAGGAUGUGAAAUGUUCCACGAAGCCAACAAGCUAGUAUCAUCAGCAAGCAGUAUUCCAGUGUUCAGAUACACACAGCCACAACUACACCAGCAGCAGUGCAAACAGGUAUACACAAAUGGGUGCUUAAGUCCUCCUGCAGUAUGCUUCCUUGCCUGCCUGCAGCACUUCAGAGCUUGUGCAUAUAGGAUUGCAGCCCACAGCUCCCAGCUCACUGAAGUCUCCUGGUCACCACGCUGGACUACACCGGAACAGCAUUAAUUGAGAACUGAGACGGGAAUCACAGAAAGGAAGACAGCUGUCUAACCCUUUUUACUGCACAUAGACUAUAUGGCUAUAAUUUAUAUAAGCAGACCUUAAACUGAAGCCUGGAUCUCCUUCUUCCGGUGUGAGCACUAUGGUAAGAACAAUGCUUCAGCCAAAAGCAGAGUGCUACAGGAGACGUGGAGGAUUUUCCUUUCUUUCAGCAGCCCAUUGACUGCUCCUAAUUAGUCCCUAGCACAACAGUUUCGUCACUUGCUCAUGAAGGGACUGUAAAUUCCCUGAAGCCAUGUUGAAUCAGGAUCCUGCUUUUGAGAAAAAAAAUAAAAAAAUAAUAAAAAAAUAAAGUCCUUUAAUG